UACAGAGGGAGGGCAAGCGUUGUUCGGAAUUACUGGGCGUAAAGCGAGUGUAGGUGGUUGUCCAAGUUGGAUGUGAAAGCCUUGAGCUCAACUCAAGAAAUGCAUUCAGGACUGGAUGACUAGAGGACCGGAGAGGAUAGUGGAAUUCCCAGUGUAGUGGUGAAAUACGUAGAGAUUGGGAAGAACACCAGUGGCGAAGGCGGCUAUCUGGACGGUUUCUGACACUAAGACUCGAAAGCGUGGGGAGCAAACAGG
rnacentral:rRNA from 1 species